rnacentral:rRNA from 1 species
UGAAUACGAGACGCUACGGCGUCGAAGCAGUCUAUGUCAUACUUCCAAGAAAAGCUCGCAAUGUCAUAAACAAAUAAUGCCUGUACCAUAACCGACACAGGUGGGUAGGUAGAGUAUACUAAGGGGCGCGAGAUAACUCUCUCUAAGGAACUCGGCAAAAUGACUCCGUAACUUCGGGAGAAGGAGUGCCUUAUUUAUAAGGUUGCAAUAACAAGAUCCAAGCAACUGUUUAUCAAAAACACAGGUCUCCGCUAAGUCGUAAGACGAUGUAUGGGGGCUGACGCCUGCCCAGUGCCAGAAGGUUAAAGAAGUUGGUUAGCAUUCGCGAAGCUGAUAACUGAAGCCCUGGUGAACGGCGGCCGUAACGAUAACGGUCCUAAGGUAGCGAAAUUCCUUGUCGGGUAAGUUCCGACCCGCACGAAAGGCGUAAUGAUUUGGAUACUGUCUCGGAGAGGGGCUCGGUGAAAUAGACUUGUCUGUGAAGAUGCGGACUACCUGCACCUGGACAGAAAGACCCUAUGAAGCUUUACUGUAACUUGAAAUUGAAAUUGGACUUUAUUUGCGCAGCAUAGGUGGGAGGCGUUGAGAGUAUUCUUGCGGGAAUAUUGGAGCCAUCAGUGAGAUACCACUCUUGUAAUGUUAGAUUUCUAACUUUGUACCAUUAUCUGGUCAAAGAACAGUUUCAGGCGGGCAGUUUGACUGGGGCGGUCGCCUCCCAAACGGUAACGGAGGCGUACAAAGGUUUCCUCUGAACGGGUAGAAAUCGUAUCUAGAGUGUAAAGGCAUAAGGAAGCUUGACUGUGAGACCUACAAGUCGAGCAGGGACGAAAGUCGGUCUUAGUGAUCUGACGGUGCUGAGUGGAAAGGCCGUCACUCAACGGAUAAAAGUUACUCUAGGAUAACAGGCUGAUCUCCCCCAAGAGUUCACAUCGACGGGGAGGUUUGGCACCUCGAUGUCGGCUCAUCGCAUCCUGGGGCGGUAGUACGUCCCAAGGGUUGGGCUGUUCGCCCAUGAAAGCGGUACGCGAGCUGGGUUCAGAACGUCGUGAGACAGUUCGGUCCAUAUCCGGUGUAGGCGUUAGAAUAUUGAGAGGAGCCUUCUUUAGUACGAGAGGACCGAGAAGGACAUACCUCUGGUGUACCAGUUAUCGUGCCAACGGUAAACGCUGGGUAGCUAUGUAUGGAGAGGAUAACCGCUGAAAGCAUCUAAGUGGGAAGCCCACCUCAAGAUAAGUAUUCUCAU